UAAAAGCAGUUUGUGUAGAGGCUGGAAUGCUAGCACUUCGCCGUGAUGCAACUGAGGUGAACCAUGAGGACUUCAAUGAAGGUAUAAUACAGGUCCAAGCGAAGAAGAAAGCAAGCUUNGAACUACUAUGCAUAAUUUCAAAAGAUGAUUCUAUCCAAGGAUAAGGCAAGCUUAAGCUCAUAAUUUUUUCACGCCAGGAAUAGACAUAUUAGUCCUCUUGUUAUGAUUUCUGUGCAUCUUUUUUAGAACCUUGUUGUAAAAGUUGAAGAUUUAAGUUGUACUUUGCUUUUCUUACCGUUGGAGUUUUAUUCAACAUGUCCAAUGAAUGGUAUCCAAUAGAAAAAGAAAGAAAGUAAUUAGAAGUGUUGAGAGACGAAUGUUUCAAAAC
rnacentral:misc_RNA from 1 species